rnacentral:rRNA from 1 species
GACGAACGCUGGCGGCGUGCUUAACACAUGCAAGUCGAACGGAAAGGCCCUGCUUUUGUGGGGUGCUCGAGUGGCGAACGGGUGAGUAACACGUGAGUAACCUGCCCUUGACUUUGGGAUAACUUCAGGAAACUGGGGCUAAUACCGGAUAGGAGCUCCUGCUGCAUGGUGGGGGUUGGAAAGUUUCGGCGGUUGGGGAUGGACUCGCGGCUUAUCAGCUUGUUGGGGGGGUAGUGGCUUACCAAGGCUUUGACGGGUAGCCGGCCUGAGAGGGUGACCGGCCACAUUGGGACUGAGAUACGGCCCAGACUCCUACGGGAGGCAGCAGUGGGGAAUAUUGCACAAUGGGCGGAAGCCUGAUGCAGCAACGCCGCGUGCGGGAUGACGGCCUUCGGGUUGUAAACCGCUUUCGCCUGUGACGAAGCGUGAGUGACGGUAAUGGGUAAAGAAGCACCGGCUAACUACGUGCCAGCAGCCGCGGUGAUACGUAGGGUGCGAGCGUUGUCCGGAUUUAUUGGGCGUAAAGGGCUCGUAGGUGGUUGAUCGCGUCGGAAGUGUAAUCUUGGGGCUUAACCCUGAGCGUGCUUUCGAUACGGGUUGACUUGAGGAAGGUAGGGGAGAAUGGAAUUCCUGGUGGAGCGGUGGAAUGCGCAGAUAUCAGGAGGAACACCAGUGGCGAAGGCGGUUCUCUGGGCCUUUCCUGACGCUGAGGAGCGAAAGCGUGGGGAGCGAACAGGCUUAGAUACCCUGGUAGUCCACGCUGUAAACGGUGGGUACUAGGUGUGGGGUCCAUUCCACGGGUUCCGUGCCGUAGCUAACGCUUUAAGUACCCCGCCUGGGGAGUACGGCCGCAAGGCUAAAACUCAAAGGAAUUGACGGGGCCCCGCACAAGCGGCGGAGCAUGCGGAUUAAUUCGAUGCAACGCGUAGAACCUUACCUGGGUUUGACAUGGAUCGGGAGCGCUCAGAGAUGGGUGUGCCUCUUUUGGGGUCGGUUCACAGGUGGUGCAUGGCUGUCGUCAGCUCGUGUCGUGAGAUGUUGGGUUAAGUCCCGCAACGAGCGCAACCCUUGUUCACUGUUGCCAGCACGUUAUGGUGGGGACUCAGUGGAGACCGCCGGGGUCAACUCGGAGGAAGGUGGGGAUGACGUCAAGUCAUCAUGCCCCUUAUGUCCAGGGCUUCACGCAUGCUACAAUGGCUGGUACAGAGAGUGGCGAGCCUGUGAGGGUGAGCGAAUCUCGGAAAGCCGGUCUCAGUUCGGAUUGGGGUCUGCAACUCGACCUCAUGAAGUCGGAGUCGCUAGUAAUCGCAGAUCAGCAACGCUGCGGUGAAUACGUUCCCGGG